AGCCAAGUCGUGAGGCGGAGCUAAUCCCUUAAAGCCAUUCUCAGUUCGGAUUGUAGGCUGAAACUCGCCUACAUGAAGCUGGAGUUACUAGUAAUGGCAGGUCAGCAUACUGCCGUGAAUACGUUCCCGGGCCUUGUACACACCGCCCGUCACACCAUGAGAGUUGGGAAUACCCGAAGCCUGUGAGCUAACUUUUAGAGGCAGCAGUCGAAGGUAGAAUCAAUGAUUGGGGUGAAGUCGUAACAAGGUAGC
rnacentral:rRNA from 1 species